rnacentral:rRNA from 1 species
UUGCACCUUAUCUUAGCGGCGGACGGGUGAGUAAUGCUUAGGAAUCUGCCUAUUAGUGGGGGACAACAUUCCGAAAGGGAUGCUAAUACCGCAUACGUCCUACGGGAGAAAGCAGGGGAUCUUCGGACCUUGCGCUAAUAGAUGAGCCUAAGUCGGAUUAGCUAGUUGGUGGGGUAAAGGCCUACCAAGGCGACGAUCUGUAGCGGGUCUGAGAGGAUGAUCCGCCACACUGGGACUGAGACACGGCCCAGACUCCUACGGGAGGCAGCAGUGGGGAAUAUUGGACAAUGUGGGGAACCCUGAUCCAGCCAUGCCGCGUGUGUGAAGAAGGCCUUAUGGUUGUAAAGCACUUUAAGCGAGGAGGAGGCUACUGAGACUAAUACUCUUGGAUAGUGGACGUUACUCGCAGAAUAAGCACCGGCUAACUCUGUGCCAGCAGCCGCGGUAAUACAGAGGGUGCGAGCGUUAAUCGGAUUUACUGGGCGUAAAGCGUGCGUAGGCGGCUUUUUAAGUCGGAUGUGAAAUCCCCGAGCUUAACUUGGGAAUUGCAUUCGAUACUGGGAAGCUAGAGUAUGGGAGAGGAUGGUAGAAUUCCAGGUGUAGCGGUGAAAUGCGUAGAGAUCUGGAGGAAUACCGAUGGCGAAGGCAGCCAUCUGGCCUAAUACUGACGCUGAGGUACGAAAGCAUGGGGAGCAAACAGGAUUAGAUACCCUGGUAGUCCAUGCCGUAAACGAUGUCUACUAGCCGUUGGGGCCUUUGAGGCUUUAGUGGCGCAGCUAACGCGAUAAGUAACCGCCUGGGGAGUACGGUCGCAAGACUAAACUC